rnacentral:rRNA from 1 species
GUGGGGAAUAUUGGACAAUGGGGGGAACCCUGAUCCAGCCAUGCCGCGUGUGUGAAGAAGGCCUUUUGGUUGUAAAGCACUUUAAGCGAGGAGGAGGCUACCGAGAUUAAUACUCUUGGAUAGUGGACGUUACUCGCAGAAUAAGCACCGGCUAACUCUGUGCCAGCAGCCGCGGUAAUACAGAGGGUGCGAGCGUUAAUCGGAUUUACUGGGCGUAAAGCGUGCGUAGGCGGCUUUUUAAGUCGGAUGUGAAAUCCCCGAGCUUAACUUGGGAAUUGCAUUCGAUACUGGGAAGCUAGAGUAUGGGAGAGGAUGGUAGAAUUCCAGGUGUAGCGGUGAAAUGCAUAGAGAUCUGGAGGAAUACCGAUGGCGAAGGCAGCCAUCUGGCCUAAUACUGACGCUGAGGUACGAAAGCAUGGGGAGCAAACAGGAUUAGAAACCCGAGUAGUCC